GGUGAGCACUGUCCGGCUGAGGAGGUGCUUUCUGACCUCAAUCCUCUCCUGCUCAAGCAAGCUCUGGCACCAGGGUGAGCCACCCACUUCUCCUCUGUCUCAGGUGGCAGCCCAGAAAAGCAGGUUAAUAACACCAAUCUCACAGAGAAGUCGUGAGCUUGCAUUUCUCAGCCAGAUUGGAGACAGCCAGAAAACAGCUGAGGCACCUCCAGAAAGAGGGUGAAAGGUGGGAUCCAGAAAAUCUGCUGGCACCAAUAGCAACUCUUGCCACACAGAAAUGCUCCCAGGGAAAUUAAUUUAAUUUAACAGGGCUAUCGGAGAACAUCUGUUCUUCCUCGUGGAUUUGCAGAGGUGGGUUCCUCCUCUUCUUCCU
rnacentral:lncRNA from 1 species